ACAAGAAAAGGAAAGAGAUAAAAGGUUGAAUAUGAAAGCGAAAAGAGGUGUGUAUGAGGGCGUGAUUGUGCUGACAAUGUUAUAUGGUGCAGAGACGUG